rnacentral:rRNA from 1 species
AUUGAACGCUGGCGGCAGGCCCAACACAUGCAAGUCGAACGAGUGGCGGACGGGUGUGUAAUGUCUGGGAAACUGCCUGAUGGAGGGGGAUAACUACUGGAAAUGGUAGCUAACACCGCAUACCUUCCGAUGUGCCCAGAUGGGAUUAGCUUGUUGGUGGGGUAACGGCUCACCAAGGCGACGAUCCCUAGCUGGUCUGAGAGGGAGACCAGCCACACUGGGACUGAGACACGGUCCAGACUCCUACGGGAGGCAGCAGUGGGGAAUAUUGCACAAUGGGCGGAAGCCUGAUGCAGCAAUGCCGAGUGUAUGAAGAAGGCCUUCGGGUUGUAAAGUACUUUCAGCGGGGAGGCGUUACCCGCAGAAGAAGCGCCGGCUAACUCAGUGCCAGCAGCCGCGGUAAUAC